AAUUUCCUUAAUGAUGACAGUCAGUUCUUUACACUGACUAUAUAGAAAGAGGAGGUACAUUAAAUACACCCCCUAUACAUCUCAACACAAACCCUUUACCUGGUCUGUAUUGUGAAUUGGGGGACCAAA